CGCUGGGCCCACCCACACGAGAGCGCUUUGCUUCUUGCAAAACAGCGAGCUGCGCACGUCAACCGUUGGCAUCAGGACGGCAAUCAAAAUCAAGACCUUUUGGAGCCCGUCUUCUUGUACCCAGAGGGAAACUGAGGCCUGGACCCAGGCUUAAUUCCCGUCUGGCUUGUGUCUGACCAUUCUCCCUGCUCCCUGGGCUCAGUGCUGACUUCAGGUGAUGUCUCCUCUAGCGUCUUGCUUCUAACAUCCGGUGAGAAUGGCAGCCACAUCAGGUUGGACAGAAGAAUUUUUGAGCCAGAGCAGCUCAGGUUGGCCCUGUUGAACUGCAGCCAUGGAGAGAGGAUCUCAAAUGAAAACGCACAGGCCUCGGCGACUGGUUACGUGAGA